GACGUAGGAUGCGAGCGUUGUCCGGAUUUAUUGGGCGUAAAGAGUUCGUAGGCGGUUCAUUAAGUCUGGUGUAAAAGACGGGGGCUCAACCCUCGGAUCGCACUGGAUACUGGUGGACUCGAGUGGAGUAGAGGCAAGCGGAAUUCCCAGUGUAGCGGUGAAAUGCGUAGAUAUUGGGAAGAACACCGGUGGCGUAGGCGGCUUGCUGGGCUUUAACUGACGCUGAGGAACGAAAGCUAGGGUAGCGAAUGGG
rnacentral:rRNA from 1 species